rnacentral:rRNA from 1 species
AGCAGCCGCGGUAAUUCCAGCUCCAAUAGCGUAUAUUAAAGUUGUUGCAGUUAAAAAGCUCGUAGUUGAACUUCGGGGUUUACCCAUUGGUCAGGCUUAAUUGUCUGUACUGGUGAGAUGAAUCUCUACCUUCUGAGGAACUUUCAUGCCAUUUAUUUGGUGUGAUGGGAAAUCAGGACUGUUACUUUGAAAAAAUUAGAGUGUUUAAAGCAGGCUAACGUCUGAAUACAUUAGCAUGGAAUAAUGAAAUAGGACGGACUGAUUCUAUUUCGUUGGUUUCUAGGAUCACCGUAAUGAUUAAUAGGGAUAGUUGGGGGCAUUAGUAGUUCAAUUGUCAGAGGUGAAAUUCUUGGAUUUAUUGAAGACUAACUACUGCGAAAGCAUUUGCCAAGGAUGUUUUCAUUAAUCAAGAACGAAAGUUAGGGGAUCGAAGACGAUCGAGAUACCGUCGUAGUCUUAACCAUAAACUAUGCCGACUAGGGAUCGGACGAAGUUAAUUUUAUAAUGACGCGUUCGGCAC